rnacentral:rRNA from 1 species
AGUCGAGCGAGCUUGCCUAGAUGAUUUUAGUGCUUGCACUAAAUGAAACUAGAUACAAGCGAGCGGCGGACGGGUGAGUAACACGUGGGUAACCUGCCCAAGAGACUGGGAUAACACCUGGAAACAGAUGCUAAUACCGGAUAACAACACUAGACGCAUGUCUAGAGUUUGAAAGAUGGUUCUGCUAUCGCUCUUGGAUGGACCUGCGGUGCAUUAGCUAGUUGGUAAGGUAACGGCUUACCAAGGCAAUGAUGCAUAGCCGAGUUGAGAGACUGAUUGGCCACAUUGGGACUGAGACACGGCCCAAACUCCUACGGGAGGCAGCAGUAGGGAAUCUUCCACAAUGGACGAAAGUCUGAUGGAGCAACGCCGCGUGAGUGAAGAAGGGUUUCGGCUCGUAAAGCUCUGUUGGUAGUGAAGAAAGAUAGAGGUAGUAACUGGCCUUUAUUUGACGGUAAUUACUUAGAAAGUCACGGCUAACUACGUGCCAGCAGCCGCGGUAAUACGUAGGUGGCAAGCGUUGUCCGGAUUUAUUGGGCGUAAAGCGAGUGCAGGCGGUUCAAUAAGUCUGAUGUGAAAGCCUUCGGCUCAACCGGAGAAUUGCAUCAGAAACUGUUGAACUUGAGUGCAGAAGAGGAGAGUGGAACUCCAUGUGUAGCGGUGGAAUGCGUAGAUAUAUGGAAGAACACCAGUGGCGAAGGCGGCUCUCUGGUCUGCAACUGACGCUGAGGCUCGAAAGCAUGGGUAGCGAACAGGAUUAGAUACCCUGGUAGUCCAUGCCGUAAACGAUGAGUGCUAAGUGUUG